AUAUUACAAUGUAAUUCGCGCAGUUUGUGUAUUUGUUCAGUUACCCUUAAAUCGAAACUGCAUGUAACGAUUCAUUGGAUAUACUUGUAACAGCAGCACAAGUCAGAGAAUUUACAAGACCAGUUAACAACAGCAGAAAAUGUCUUUCAUCAACAGAGCAUACUGAAUCAUCAUCUGCAACUCCAGUUAUCAAUGGAAGCCCAAGAUUAACCCCACCAACAGGCCACCCCUUUUGACAUUAACAGUAAUCUACAGCACGAGAGAAAAAACCAGGGUUGUUUUUAUAUUAUAUCAAUUUGAGACAUGCCACAUUUUGUACUUUGUGAAGAGUUUUUUUUUAUAUAUAUAUAUAUAUAUAUACAUCUGAGCAAAUUCUCCAGUGUGUAAAAAAGGAGGGACCUAACAAAUAUGACAAAACAAUCUCAGUUGUUAUUAACACUGAUGAGGCUGAGACAUAAUUUUGAAAUCAAGGACUUGGCAUCAAGAUUUUGUAUUUCAACACCGUGUAUCAGUGAUAUAUUCUGUGCCUGAAUUGACCUUAUGUUGUGUUAGGUUGUGUUUCAAUAUAGUCCUAUAGGAAUGAUAUUAACAACAUGACAACUGAAUAAAAGCUCAUUUCCCAACAA